UUAGAAUGUAAGCGGCAUAGAAUAAAAAUAAAGAUUAGUUCAGUUGAAGAAUACACCUAAGCGAAGAAGCUCGGUGUUUUUAUUUUUAACUCUAGAGUGGAAGAAUAGACAUAAGCGAAAAAGCUCGGUUCUUUUUUAUUUUACACUAAAACUAUAUGCUAAAGUGGUUCGAUCUGAACAAAUUCUUUGGAGAAUGUACCGUUGCUUGGACCUUCAGAACCUUUUCUAUCAACCAGAACCAAAAGUGUUUUUCAAAAUCGCACUACGUUUCGUAUUUUAAAUUUUUGGCUGUGUUAUUCGGAAAUACUUGACGCUGCCUAUUGUCAACCCUUCUGGUUAUUUACUUUACAAAGGAAUAAUAUUUGGUGUACGGGAAUUCGAGAUUGGAACCAUUUAUCAGAAAUAAUUAAACAACACAAUUGUUCGGGUGGCCAUUCGGAAGCAUGUGCUGUGUAUGAAUUUUGGAAAAAAACGAUACUAAUACUAUCGACAAGGAACUUGAAAAUGAAAUUUGGAAAGAAGGAAAUCAAGAAUACUUAAGUCAGGAAGGAUACCAUGGAAAUUUCCUGUCCUUUGUAGAGCUUGUCGCCCAGUAUGAUCACAUUUUGCGGCAAAUUUUGGAUGUGCCCAAAGAUCUACAAGAUAUCUGAGUGCAACAAUUCAAAAUGAAAUGAUUGAGAGCACGAAAACCAAACUCGAAACCCUUCUUCUUGAACAAAUUAGAGCGACACCGUUUUUUGCCAUCAUAGUGGAUAGACACAGGAUAUAUCGAAACUAGAUCAGAUAAGCAGUGUUGUGAAGAAUGCAGUAAUGACCAGAUGUUAAAAUGGACAGCCAAUUGAUAUAGAAGUAAAAGAAGUGUUUUUAGGCUUUUAUGAUUUAAAAAAUGACAAGGCUAUUAUGGAGCCAGUGUGAUGAGUGGUGUGUAUAAUGGUGUACAAAACAUAUUAAGGAUAUCCAGCCUAACGUAGAGUACGUACAUUGUUCCACUCAUAAUAUAAAUUUGGUGAUAAAUGAUGCUAUUAGCAGUUAUGUGGAAAUACAGAUUUUGUUUGCAAUGUUGCAAGAUUUGUAUAAUUUUUUCGGAAACAGCAUCAAACGUUGGAAUCUAUAAAUUUAAAUUUACUGGCGAAUCGGACACCACUCUAAAAAAACUAAAUCCGACUAGAUGGUCCAGUAAGGUCGAUACGAUAUCUGCAAUAAAACUUCGUUAUUUUGAUAUUAUCAAAGCAUUAACAGAAAUAGUUCUAAAGAGUCCUAAUAAAGAUGAGCGUAGUGAAACAGAGUGUAUUAAAACAAAAAUGCAAAACUUCGAGUUCGUGUUGCUUUGCAAAUUCAUGCACAGUGAAAUGAACAACAUCAAUUAUGCAUGCUAAGUAGCUUAGCAUUUUAAAAUAUUUGUAUAUUUCAUAUUUUUAUUUGAUAAAACCUUUUCAGUUUACAUAACAGUGGGACCCCAUUUUUUAAUUUGCCCAGGGCCCUUGGUUACUUAGCUACGCCACUAUCUAAAAGGAAACAUUUAUGUAGGCAACGUGACAACUGCAGCUCUAAUCACUAUUAUUCUCCUUACAUUGAUAAUAAAAAACAAAUUUGAAAUAAAUUAUUUAUAUAGA